rnacentral:lncRNA from 1 species
AUGAAAAGAAAAAAGGAAAAAAAAAAAGAACUUUAAAAGUACAGUGAGAUGCACGAUCUGAUAUUAUCUUCACAAGGCUCCCAUGAAAAAGGCUCCCACGUGGAAGGGACUUGCCUUGUCUCAGAUGAGACUUUGGACUUGGACUUUUGGGUUAAUGCUGGAACGAGUUAAGACUUUGUGGGACUGUUGGAAGGGCAUGAUUGUGUUUUGAAAUGUGAGAACAUAAGAUUUGGGAGGGGCCAGGCUCAGAAUGAUAUGGUUUGGCUCUGUGUCCCCACUCAAAUCUUGCUUUGAAUUGUAAUAAUCCUUGUGUGUCAAGGGUGGAACCAGGUGGAGGUAAUUGAAUGAUAGGGGCAGUUUUCCCCAUGAUGUUUUUGUAAUAGUGAGUGAGCCUCACAAAAUAUGAUAGUUUUUAUAAGCAUCUGGCAUUUCCCCUGCUUGUACUCAUUCUCUCUCCUGCGGCCCUGUGAAGAGGUGCCUUCCAC